UCAACAAGAGUGUCGCACUGUAUAUGUUAAUCUACUUUGAAAUUCCCUGUCUUCAGGCUUUGCCUUGAAUCCCCUUGGAGCAACACACCUGGCUUGAAUCCCAGCUCUGCUACUGAUUCACCAGGUUUCCCCCAGGAGCCCAUUCCCAGUAAACCACCUCCACAAGAAUCCCCACUGUGAUGGAUUGAACUGUUCAAGUCCCAGCCUCCAGUCCUGUGAAAGUGAUCCUGUUUGGACAUAGGAUCUGUGAAGGUGUCAUUAGUCAGGAUGAGGCCACGCUAGAUUAGGGUGUGUCCCAAUCCAGUAUGACUGGUGUCCUUAUAAGGAGAAGAAAUUUGGACCCAGAGGGACAGAGAGAAGAUGGCCAUGUGACAGUAGCAGAGACUGAGUCAUGCCAUGGAUGGCCAGUAAGCCACCGCCAAAACCCUGCAGACUUCAGAAGAAGUGUGGUCCUGUCAACACCUAUAUUUUGGACUUCUAGGCUCCAAAAUAAUGAGACAAAACAUUGCUGUUGUUUUAAGCCAUCCAGUUUCUUAUGGUAGCCCCAGCAGAAGAAUAUACCUGUCCUGGGUUCUGCUUCUAGAGAAUCAGGCUUAGGACAAAAAUUGAACACCUUCAUUCAUGGCCAUAGUCCCAAUACUAAUAAUAGCCCAGUGUUAGGAGCUUUGCAUUUAUCACCUUAUUUCAUUCUUCUAACACUGCAAGUUAUUAUUCCCAUUUUGCAGAUGAGGAAAUGGAAGAUCAGAGAGAUCCGGUGCCGUCCCAAUUUCUCAAGGUCGGACCCAGGGUGUCUGCCUUCCCAUCCCACCAGAGAAGGCGGCGCUCGGCAUUCUUCCAUUCUUCAACCCCUCCAGGAGACAGGCACUAUUAGCCGUGUGCCCAUUGUGCAGAUGAGAAGGCUCAAGGGCAGGUUCAGAUUGGAUCCCCGGCAGACCAGCUCUGGGGGCCACACGUCUAACCACCAAACAGCACCACAGGGUCCAGAAGUGGCUAAACCUGGCUUUGGCUCAUAGAUUUGCUCUUUAUGACCCGUGUGGCCUGGGGCCAGCUCCUUUGCUUCCCAAGGUCUCAGUGUCCUCACCGUAAAACGGGCUGAUGCCCUUCCUGACUACAAGGUACCUGGGCCAACCUCCUGGGAGAGCUCCAUCAGCUGGGGGUGCCAGGAUGAAGACCCACCGUGAUUUCUCUUGUUGGCUGUGGGGCUCUGGGUCCUAAACGGGUAGAGACAGAGAAGCUGUGAUUCCCGACCGCCGACUCCAUGAGACAAGGUUGACCGCAUGAAAGGCUAUUUUUUGGGUGACCCUCAGGACGCAGUACAUUCCCCUUAUUGCAUAGUCUCCUAUCCUGACAAAGUGUCACAGUAACUGGGGGGAUUGCUUUGCUUUUCUGCCCUACUUGGCAGGAAUAAUGUGGCAGAUGAGGACAGCAGAAAGCAAAAAAUCUGGAAGUUUGCUCUGGAGGAAGAUUUACUGGGUCUGUAGAAAGACUUGGCUGCUGGAGGAGAUGGAGGCGGUUUCUCACUAACUCCCCAUUUCCCUGCUGCCGACCACUUCUCUAAGAACCACAAGCAGAAAAUCUCUGUUACUCUUUGUCCGUAACAAGACGACAAGAGUCCAGCGAGCCCUGGACGGAAGUGGUGGCCGUGUGGCGUGGCUUCCAUGCAGCUUUGAGUCCAGUGUUCUGUGCCUGGUGGAGGCUCAGGGGCUAAUUUCCGUACCCAAGUGAGCCCUCUGGGCACGUGUGGGUGAAAGCUUUCUCCAGAGCGGCUGCCAGAGACGUUGUGCACAGAGCAGUCGCCACAAAGUGGGUCAGCAGGUCAAUCCGGCUUUUUAUAUGCGGGCCAGGCUGCCUACAUUUACAUUUAGGGUCAGCUGUAGGGCAGAAAAAGAUUGGGGCGAAAGGAAUCCAUUUGGAACCUUUCUGUGCUGCUGCCAACUACUUCGUGAACAGGCUGUUCAUUAUUUAUAGAUCACACAACUGGGUUUUGUACAGUAACCUUAUUUAGGCAUAUAAAUAAGCAAGGGAUAAGAGAGGAGAACCAAGAGCAUUGUUUUUUUUGUUUGUUUGUUUUGUUUAGUUUGUUUGUUUUUUUCCCUCCUGAAGUGAAAGGUAGAUGACGCGAUUCUACAUUUGAGGACUCUUGGUUGGCAUAUCAUCCAGAUCACAUGAAUUAGAAGAUUUAAUCCCUAUUCAUGUGGGCAUUAAAAACACUGUUUGCUCUUUAAAUUUAUCUUCUGGAUGUUUAAAAUAUAUUCUAUUGCAAUCUUGCAGCAUAAAUUCUGAAUAAUGAUAUUAUUAACCAUUUAUUAAAUGC